rnacentral:rRNA from 1 species
AUUGAACGCUGGCGGCAGGCCUAACACAUGCAAGUCGAGCGAGCGGCGGACGGGUGAGUAAUGUCUGGGAAACUGCCUGAUGGAGGGGGAUAACUACUGGAAACGGUAGCUAAUACCGCAUACCAUCAGAUGUGCCCAGAUGGGAUUAGCUAGUAGGUGGGGUAAUGGCUCACCUAGGCGACGAUCCCUAGCUGGUCUGAGAGGAUGACGGGCAACACUGGAACUGAAAACGGGUCCAGCCCCCUACGGGGGGCAGCAGGGGGGAAUAUUGCACAAGGGGCGCAAGCCUGAUGCAGCCAUGCCGGGGGUAUGAAGAAGGCUUUGGGGUUGAAAAGUACUUUCAGCGGGGAGGCGUUACCAGCAGAAGAAGCACCGCUAACUCCGUGCCAGCAGCCGCGGUAAUAC